GAUGACCGCUGGCGACGUGCUUAAUACAUGCAAGUCGAGCGCACAGACGAGGAGCUUGCUCAUCUGACGAUAGCGGCGGACGGGUGAGUAACACGUGGAUACCCUACCUAUAAGACUGAGAUAACUUCCGGAAACCGGAGAUAAUACCGGAUAAUCUAUUGCACAACAUGGUUCAAUAGUGACAGACGGUUUUGCUGCUACUUAUAGAUCGAACCGGGCCGCAUUAGCUAAUUGGAAAGGUAACGGCUUAACAAGGCAACGAUGCGUAGCCGACCUGAGAGGGUGAUCGGCCACACUGAGACUGAGACUCGGUCCAGACGCCUACGAGAGGCAGCAGUAGAGAAUCUUCCGCAAUGGGCGAAAGCCUGACGGAGCAACGCCGCGGAAGAGAUGAGUGUCUUCGGAUCGUAAAACUCGGUUAUUAGGGAAGAACAAAUGUGUAAGUAACAAUGCACGUCUUGACGGUACCUAAUCAGAAAGCCACGGCUAACUACGUG
rnacentral:rRNA from 1 species